ensembl:lncRNA
GAGGACGCACGCGGCCAGCCGGGAGGCGCGCGCUUUCCCCUCCCCCGCGGCCCGGAGCGCGAGCCGCCGUGACGUCAGGGGCCGCCCGCCUGCCCCGCGCUCCAGCGGGCAGAGCGCGUGCGGCCGCCGAGCACAUGGGCCCGCGGCCCGGGCGGACUCGGGGCGGCGGGGCCCGGGGGAACGGCGAGGGGCCGCGAGCGAGGAUGAGUCCCGGCACGCCCCCGCCCCGGACCCCCUCGAGUGGAUUUCCACGCGGAAAGGAUGUUGGCGGUCCCGGUGACCUGCGGAGACACGGUUGGAGCCACCUUUCAGGCUCCAGGACAUUGAUUGUGAAAUGAGGAAGAGCUUGGGUGCACUGAGAGAAGUUUACUAAUGGAUCCUACUGCCUGGCCCUCAGGAUCACAGAGCAGUGGAGGGAAGCCCCCCAAGUUAAAAAUAAUUACACGCCAGAUGCCGUUCCAAGUUCUGUGCCUCAACCAGUUAAAGAUUUUUGGAUCUUUUGCCCAGAAGGCCUGUUCAGAAGGGCAGCUGGAAUUACUACCCGGUGCCCUCAGGCAAGCCAUGGAUGACCUGACUAAGGAGAUGGUGUCUGGCCGGGGCCACCAGGUUGGGGAGAAGAGGCUGUGGACUUGCCUUCCAUGUGGUCCAGGACUUGCUGGCGAAGGACUGUGGGCUUCCAGCAAUACUUUUAACCUGGAAAGAAUAAAAGAGUUGAGGGUGGACCCCUCAGCUGCUGCUGCUGACAUCUUAUCACUUAAGCACAUAUUUUUCUGA